UACGGAGGUGGCAAGCGUUGUUCGGAAUUACUGGGCGUAAAGGGCGCGUAGGCGGCCUGACAAGUCAGAUGUGAAAGCCCCGGGCUUAACCCGGGAAUUGCAUCUGAAACUGAUUGGCUUGAGUUCUGGAGGGGAUGGUGGAAUUCCCAGUGUAGCGGUGAAAUGCGUAGAUAUUGGGAGGAACACCUGCGGCGAAGGCGGCCAUCUGGACAGUGACUGACGCUGAGGCGCGAAAGCUAGGGGAGCGAACGGG
rnacentral:rRNA from 1 species